GCGUGAGUUUCGCUCUGUUUUAUAUGUGCUUCCCAGUCCUGUGGUUCUGCUAUACCGGGGACGCUGAGUCCCCACAGACCUGGAAAAUUGCGGCCCCUCUUUCUCAACCCAGAGCAAAUUGAGACGUCCGGGCUUGAGGGCAGUUGUGCGAUCUUGGUUCACUUCAACCUCUGCUCUCUAGGCUCAAGCCAUCCUCCCACCUCAGCCUGGCUGGAGUGCAGUGGUGCCAUCUCAGCUCACUGCAACUUCUGACUCCCGAGUUCAAGUGAUUCUUUUGCCUCAGCCUCCCAAGUAGCUGGGACAACAGGGGCAUGCCAAGAAGCCCAGCUAACUUUUGUACUUGUAGUAGAGAGGGGGUUUCACCAUGUUGGCCAAAAUUGUCUCAAUCUCUUGAUCUCAUGAUCCACCUGCCUCACCCUCCCAGAGUGCUGGGAUUACAGGCAUGAG
rnacentral:sRNA from 1 species